rnacentral:rRNA from 1 species
UACAGAGGUCCCAAGCGUUGUUCGGAUUUAUUGGGCGUAAAGGGUGCGUAGGCGGCGGAGUAAGUUGGGUGUGAAAUCCCGGGGCUCAACCUCGGAAUUGCAUUCAAUACUGCUUCGCUCGAGUACUGGAGAGGAGACUGGGAAUUUACGGUGUAGCAGUGAAAUGCGUAGAUAUCGUAAGGAAGGCCGGUGGCGAAAGCGAGUCUCUGGACAGUUACUGACGCUGAUGCACGAAGGCCAGGGGAGCAAACGGG